rnacentral:lncRNA from 1 species
AAUAUUCAGUCUAUUUUUUCAUUCAAGGGUAGAAAUAAUAGAAGAGAGUACACUUUUGUUAUCAUCAUCAGCAACAACAGCUGUCCCACUACCACAGCUCUCACAGACCAUCUAGGGAACCAACUGCUGUAAAGAAGCCAUCAAGAAUCUCAGCAUCUCAUACCAUACACCAAGAUAAAUUCAGAAUGGUUCCAAAGACCUAACUCCACACUGACUAUCUGGUUACAUGCUUGGAAAAGAAUUGCCACAUGCCUAGAGAAAUCCUCUAGCAUAUCUUUGUGAGGAGUAAGAAGGACCAAGAGAAAGUAAUUACAAUAUAAAUAGUUCUUCACAUAUUAAACAUUAAUCUUGGACACUAACAUUAAUGGCUGUGAGUCAACUUGUAUUGUACUGUAUUAAGAUGUACAAAUAUUUCAAUAAACAAAUUAACUGGCU